CGUGAAGCUGGAUUCGCUAGUAAUCGCGCAUCAGCCAUGGCGCGGUGAAUACGUUCCCGGGCCUUGUACACACCGCCCGUCAAGCCAUGGGAGCCGGGGGUGCUUGAAGUGCGUCGCCGCAAGGCGCGCCCUAGAGCAAAACCGGUGACUGGGGCUAAGUCGUAACAAGGUAGC
rnacentral:rRNA from 1 species